ACCACAACCGAGUAAACCCAAA
rnacentral:snRNA from 1 species